CCUACGGGAGGCAGCAGUAGGGAAUCUUCCGCAAUGGACGAAAGUCUGACGGAGCAACGCCGCGUGAACGAAGAAGGCCUUCGGGUCGUAAAGUUCUGUUGUUAGGGAAGAACAAGUACCAGAGUAACUGCUGGUACCUUGACGGUACCUAACCAGAAAGCCACGGCUAACUACGUGCCAGCAGCCGCGGUAAUACGUAGGUGGCAAGCGUUGUCCGGAAUUAUUGGGCGUAAAGCGCGCGCAGGUGGUUCCUUAAGUCUGAUGUGAAAGCCCACGGCUCAACCGUGGAGGGUCAUUGGAAACUGGGGAACUUGAGUGCAGAAGAGGAAAGUGGAAUUCCAAGUGUAGCGGUGAAAUGCGUAGAGAUUUGGAGGAACACCAGUGGCGAAGGCGACUUUCUGGUCUGUAACUGACACUGAGGCGCGAAAGCGUGGGGAGCAAACAGGAUUAGAUACCCUGGUAGUCCACGCCGUAAACGAUGAGUGCUAAGUGUUAGAGGGUUUCCGCCCUUUAGUGCUGCAGCUAACGCAUUAAGCACUCCGCCUGGGGAGUACGGCCGCAAGGCUGAACUUACGAAUGAGUGNGNGNGNGCGAGCGACGACGACGGAGAGGAG
rnacentral:rRNA from 1 species